rnacentral:snRNA from 1 species
GGAGAGGGUGAUCUGGCUGUGACAUCUGUCACCCCAUGGAUCACCAGAGUUGAUUCAGCUGAUCUGACUGGUUAGGUGGGUGUCCCCUUUCUCCCUCAAUACUUCCUUUCCUUCCCCACCCCCAACUCUGUGAAACUGUCUUUAUCUUUACCUGUGAGUUUUCUUGCUUUCAUUCUUUCUUUUCUCUCCCUCCUCUCAUUGUGGGGGCAGGGGGAGGAAGCAAGCAGCCACAUGUGUACUUGACUGCUGACUAGGGUCAACUCAC